rnacentral:rRNA from 1 species
UACGGAGGAUCCAAGCGUUAUCCGGAAUCAUUGGGUUUAAAGGGUCCGUAGGCGGUUUGGUAAGUCAGUGGUGAAAGCCCAUCGCUCAACGGUGGAACGGCCAUUGAUACUGCUGGACUUGAAUUAUUAGGAAGUAACUAGAAUAUGUAGUGUAGCGGUGAAAUGCUUAGAGAUUACAUGGAAUACCAAUUGCGAAGGCAGGUUUACUACUAAUGGAUUGACGCUGAUGGACGAAAGCGUGGGUAGCGAACAGG